GACGAACGCUGGCGGCGUGCUUAACACAUGCAAGUCGAACGGUAAGGCCCUUCGGGGUACACGAGUGGCGAACGGGUGAGUAACGCGUGAGUAACCUGCCCUUGACUCUGGGAUAACAGAUGGAAACGUCUGCUAAUACCGGAUACUCAUCCUUGUGGGCAUCCGCAGGGUUGGAAAGCUCCGGCGGUCAAGGAUGGACUCGCGUCCAUCCAGCUAGGUGGUGAGGUAAAGGCUCACCAAGGAGACGGUCUGUAGCGGGUCUGAGAGGAUGAUCCGCCACACUGGAAAUGAGAGACGGUCCAGACCCCUACGGGAGGCAGCAGUGGGGAAUUUUGGACAAUGGGGCAACCCUGAUCCAGCCAUGCCGCGUGAGUGAAUAAGGCCUUCGGGUUGUAAAGCUCUUUCGGCCGGGAAGAAAUCGCACGGGCUAAUACCCUGUGUGGAUGACGGUACCGGAAUAAGAAGCACCGGCUAACUACGUGCCAGCAGCCGCCGUAACAC
rnacentral:rRNA from 1 species